rnacentral:tmRNA from 1 species
GGCUUCGACGGGUUUAGUGAACGCGGAGCAGCGUGCCGAGGGCGCCUGGCCCCUCGUAAAUCAACUGGGCACAAACACAACUGCCAACCACAACUUGGCACUGGCUGCCUAAGCGGGCAGUCCGCCUCCUGAUCGACCCGGCCCGAGGCCGGUCUUGAGGUGUCGCUAAAUCGGGCUGGCCGGUUGGCGCGGCCGCGGCGUCGCCGGCGAGAUCUGAGGGCGGCUGGCUUCGGGAAGGUAGCCUAUCGGCCGACCCGGAGUGAGACAAAAUACGCUAGGCUACGCACGUAGCGGCUCUGCCGGAUCUAUUCUCGGACGCGGGUUCGAUUCCCGCCGCCUCCAUCA